GGUCCCGCCGAGCUUGUCCCGGCCUGCCGCGGUACCCCUGUGCCUGUCCUAAGCGCGAGCCCUGCUGCGUCCCGCUGGCGUUCCUUCGGCUUGUGUUGAGCUCCCGGCCGGGAACGCCAGUCCAGCGUGGAGUGCGUGACUCCUGGUGUCCGGAGGGCUUUCCGGAUCUUCGGCGUCACCGCAGCGCUGCCUCGAUGGCACCGCCACGGCCCGCCUGGGCUCCAGGCCGAUUUUCGAGACCGGAGGCCUAGGCUUGGCCGGAGCGGCCCGGUGCGUCCCCGCAGCGCCUGCACCCUACGGCCUGGCACGUGCUGGCCUUCGUGUCCUGUUGAAGCCAAGCCACUUGGUGCGACGUCGUCUUCAGACUGUGAUAGGGUACACCAGACCUCUCUCUAAGUCCGAACAGAAAAUGUGAACUUAGUCCAGGCCGCAAAAAUGACCCAGUGUCCCCCUCCUGGGCGGAUGAGAGGCAGUUCUUCUUCUGUCUAGUCUGCCUAUUAGACUACCAUACCCAGUCAUGGAAGUAACCUCUUCUUCCUGACACCGUCCAGAGCAAAGCUCCACGUCCUUAAAGGCCACCCAAAACAAACCGACACAGACCCAAACCUUACAAGUCCUUUCCAACAACCUCUUUUUUUUUUUUUUAACAUUUAUUUAUUUAUUUUAGUUGUAGAUAGACACAUCCUUUAUUUUUAUGUAGUACUGAGGAUCGAACCCAGGGCCUUGCAUGUGCUAGGUGAGCACUCAACCGCUGAGCCACAACCGAAGCCCCCCAACAACCUCUUAUCUGAGUUUCCCAGUUAGGUAUUCUCCCUCCAUGCAAUGAGUGAUAAGACCAGAUGUGACCCCAGCUGCUCUCCGCCUGUAGGACAUUGACUGGGUCCCCCAAGCCUCCAUGCUGCUCAUCUAGCUGCAGCAGAUGAAAUGCCUCCUCGCUUACAGCAGAAAUACUUGGAAGUAACAACAAUCAGUCUCCAUUUCCUUGCCUCCUACCCACUCCUCAGUCCACCCCAAUCUAGUUUCUCCCCAUCACUUAUCCAAAAGAGGCUCUUGCUAAACUCACCAGGACUUUCCACUUGAGCUAAGUGGAACCAACCUUUUUGGUCAUCAUCUUACUGCCAUCUCAGCAAUGUCUGUCUCUUGGCCUCUCUUUCCCUUUGGUUUGUAGAAUUCAUCACUCUUCUAUUUUUAUUUCUGUUCUCUGGCUUCUCCAUCUCUGUCUCCUUUACAGGCUCUUCUGUCUUGCUAUUAGAUGAAAUUCUUUUAAGUCUUGAUCUGAGUCCUCAUUCCAUAUUCUGUCCCUUGGUAAUCUCAUGCUCGUCUGGUUGAAUUACUACCCAAAUGAACAUAGUUUGCUAAUUUACAUUUACUGCUAUACCAGAUCUGUGUUCAUGUAAGUAUCCAUGUGAUAUAUCCUGGAUGACUCAAAAGUACCUCAACCUGUCCCCAGCUGAAUUCACUUUCUCUGCCCCCCCCCCUCUUUCCUUCAACCUAGUCCCCUUCCAGAGUUGACACCACCCUCAAUUCCCACUACAGACACUUCCAUAGAAGACAGAUUAAAAGGUACCCCCAAUGCCCCCAUCUCCUAAUACUCAGAUUUAGUGCAGACCCCUUGCUUUGUUUGUGGUAAUGUGUGAUUCCUUUACACAUGUUGGUAACACCCACCCUGCUAGGAGGCUCAGAGGAAGCUUCUGUCCCAGCCUACCUGGUUGCAGCCUUGCAAGGGCUCAGCUGGGACUGAAAACUGGGGAGUUGGUGCAUGGACUCCAGGCAGAGGGAUGUGGUGCUGUGCCCUGCAGCGGUGGGUAUGAAUACACUCUCCAUCACAGGUUCUGUCUGCUUACCUCCCAAACGCCUUGCCUUGCAGCCCACCCCCGCCAAGUCUGUGUACCAGAACAGCCUCCUUUCAGCCUUCUCCCUCUCCCUCAAUCCCUUCUGCUUCACUUUCUUUCCCUUGUCCCAGGACGUUUUCUCCUGUGGGGUCCUUGGCUUGUAUAACAGCAUCAAAAACAAACAUUUGUUUGUUUGUUCAUUCAUCCAAUAUUUGGUGUCAGGUGCUGAGAGUACAAGAACGAGCAGAGCAAAGCCAGGCACGAUUCCUGACCUCCAGCAACUUCCAUUCUGACCGAAGACUGUCAUUACAGAACUAACUGCAUGUAAGUGUAAAAUGGCAACCAUGACAAAGUGGCAAUGGGACAGGAGUCCAGAGGAACUGUUGACCCAGCUGAAAUCUGAGGGACAAAGGGAACUUACCCUGGGAAAGGGAGGACACUCCAAGCCACAAGGAAUCACCAGAUGGCAUUCCAAAGUGGCUGUCCCAUCUUGCAUUCCCACCAGCAAUGGAUAAGAGUUCUUGUUUCAUAUUCUCAUGAGCAUUUGGUGUUGUCAGUGUUCUGGAUUUUGGCCAUUCUAAUAGGUGUAUAAUUAACUAGCUUUUUAUUGAAAAGAGAUGAAUCCCUAAAAGGAUGGAUUUUCUUCCUUCCUUCCUUCUUUCCUCAUUCCCUCCCUCCCUCCUCUCUUUCUCUUUUUCCUUUUUGUACCAGGGAUUGAACCUAGGGCGCUUUACCACUGAGCUACAUCCCCAGCCCCUUUUAUAUUUUAUUUUGAGACAGUCUGGCUAAGUUGCUAAGGUUGCUGAACUUGGUCUUGAACUUGAGAUCCUCCUGCCUCAAUUUGGGAUUAGGGGUAUGUGCCACUGUGCUGGGCCUGGGUGAAUUUUCACAAAGUAAGCACACCUGUGUAACAAGGACCUAGAUUAAAAAACAACAUGCACCCCAGAAGCCACUUCUGGUUGUGAUCUCCCAAGAUCAGCACUCUGCCAUAGAAGAGUUUUGUUGGGGUGUGAUCUUUAUGGAAGUGAGACCAUACAGUGUGUGUUUUCAAAUCUUUUCACUCAACUUUGCAUUUAUGAAAUUGAUCUUCAUUGUUAAGAGUCAUAGUGCACUCCCUCUUGUUGCUAUGACAUAAGCAUUUUUAUUUGCAUGUACCACUACUUAUUUAUCCAUUCUCAUUUAUCUGAGUUGUGGCCAGUCAGGCAGUUACAAGUACUGCUACUAAGAACAUUUAUCUCAUUUGGUUGGCACAGAAUCUUAUUUCUGCUAGGAUAUGCCCAGGGGUGGGGUGAUCAUAAGGUAUGUUUAUGUUCAGCUUAAUGCUCUCUAUAGUAUGUGUUUUUAUUGUGGUAAAAUAUGCAUAAUAGAAGCUUUACCAGUCUCCAAAACCUUUCAUCAGUUCUUCUUUCACUAUCUGUCUCCAAAACCUUUCAUCAGGUCUUUUUUGUUGUUGUUGUUCCUUGUGCAUGUGAGGCAAGCACCCUACCAACUGAGCUAUACACAGCCCUGUCAUCUCAGAUUUUAAUGAAACUUCAUCCUCAUUAAAAGCUCACUCUCCCUCCCUGCAGCCCUAUAACUUUCAUUGUUUCCUCUGCUGUCUUAGGCACCUCACAAACGUGGAUUCCUACACUACUUGUUCUUUUCUCCUAGCAUAAUGUUUUCAAGAUUCAUCCAUGUUGUCACAUGUAUCAGGACUUAAUUACUUUUUAAUGGCUGAACAAUAUUCCAUUGAAUGGAUAGACCAUGUUUGUUUAAACAUUCAUUUGUUGAUGAACACUUGACUUGUUUCCACCUUUUGGCUGUUGCUAUGAAUUUUGGUGUACAAGUAUCUGUUUGAAUCCCUGCUUUCAAGUCUUUGGGGUAUAUAACCACAAGUGGAAUUGCUGGGUCACAUGAGGAUUCCAUGUGUAGUUUUUUGUAAGAACCACUGUCCUGUUUUCUGCAAUGACUAUACCAUUUUAUGUUCCCACCAACAACUGAUUGUUUUAUUUUUGAUGACUGCUGGGCACAGUGGGACCCACCUGUUAUCCCAGCUACUUGGAAGGCUGAGGCAGUAGGAUCAUGAGUUCAAAGCCAGCCUUAGCAACUUAAAGGCCUCUAAGCAAAUUAGCGAGACCCUGUCUCAACAUAUAAAAAAUAAAAGGGCUGGUGAUGUGGCUUAGUUGUUAAAUGCCGCUGGGUUUAAUCCCCGGUAACAAAUAUGCAUAUAUAUAUAUGAUCUUUAAAGAUUAUAUUCAUAUUCAUGUAAAUCAAUUUUUAUAAUUUCUAUAAUUAAAAAAUAGUUAAAUUCAUAAAAUUCAUUAAAAGUUAUUAAUAUGGUAUCUAAAAAUCCAAGUGGUACAAUGUUCAGGGAAAGAAGAAAAGUCAAUGCAGACUUGAAUUGCCAUUGUGGGAGACAAUUAUGUUUGGCUAGAAAAAAAUGUAUUCUAGCUAUUGAAAUGACUGAGCCUCUUGAUACUGAAAUCAUUAGAGCAAAAUUUGCCAUCAAUUCAGAGCUAAAGAAGUCUCCUCUUCAAAAAAAUGAAAAGAAAUAAAUAGAAAAUUUAGAAACAAGUUAUUAUUAAUAUGAGCAAAAAAACUAAGGAAAUGAAUUUUUCUUUUAAAUAUUUUUUAGUUGUAGAUGGGUACAAUACCUUUAUUAUUUAUUUUUAUAUGGUGCUGAGGAUUAACCCAGUGCCUCACACAUGCUAGGCAAGUACUCCACCACUAGCCACAACCCCAGCCCCCUAAGGAAAUGCCUUUGAAAUUAAUUUUUUGAGUCUUCAUUGUGGCUACUUUGUGAUAAUGUAAAAAUGAUAGAACAGCAACUUGGUGAAUGCAAGAAGCAGGUUCUGGAAUAUCUGUCCCACAGUGGGCAAAGAUUUUCUCAACAUUUAUUUUAAAUGUUUUAAGACAGAGUGAAUUAAUUGUGACUGACUCAUUAAUUCCAUGUAAUUUUUUUUCCUUUUCAUGCAUACCUUUCUGCAGGAAUACAACAGAAUCAAUUACUUGCAAUUUGAAAAAGGUGUCAAAGAUUGGAAAAAUUAAGCAGAAUUUGUGACCAUGAACGCUUUGUUUCAGUGUGAUGCUUUUCUAAAAUUAAAGUAUCUUUCUAAAAAUAUUCAACUGAUAGUUUAAAAAAUGAUGCUUUGCAUUAUGAAAAAGUUAGAUAAACAAAAGUUCACCAUUGAGGGUAGUUUAAAUGUUACAAAUAAGAAAUCAUUAGAAAUCCAAGUGGUGCAAUGUUUCCAGCCUUAGCUGAUUUUAUAGCUAUUCAUAAAAGAGGAUGUCUUAUUUGUAUAGUAAAAUUCACAACAAAUGUAAAAUGACUUAAUUGCCUUAGAGCUGAAAUACUAUCAAGAAAAAAAGAAACAAAUGCUUCUGAUUACUUUUUUUUUUUUUUUUUUUUUGGUACCAGGGAUUGAACUCCGGGGCACUCGACCACUGAGCCACAUCUCCAGCCCUAUUUUGUAUUUUAUUUAGAGACAGGGUCUCACUGAAUUGCUUAGCACCUCCCUGUUGCUGAGGCUGGCUUUGAACUCGUGAUUCUCCUGCCUCCUGAGCCGCUGGGCUUACAGGCAUGCACCAUGGAACCCCACCCUGAUUACUUUUUGAUGGUGCCCCAGGUACAGACCAUGUGAGCACAAGAUACACUCAUACUGAGAACGGUGUCAUAAUGAUAAAAGGUACAUGGAUUUGAUCGAAAUGUCAGAAAAGACAGGCAGGUCUAGCACAUGAAGUUAGGGACUAGAGAAGAUACUGACAUGAAAACUUCUUGUGGCCAGGUAUAGGAUGGUGGAGCAAACAGGACAGGCUGUACAACAGUUUGGCUAGAAAAACUGUGUUCAAGCUAUUGAAAUGACUGAGCCAGUGAAAGCUAUUUCCCCCAGAAACAGCUUUGUGCCUUCCUCAGCUCAUUAUCUCAAUAUAUACAAAUGCUACUUUUGCGAAAUGAAAUUGAAUAAUCUUUCUUAGCAUUACAUAUUUGUUUGUGUGUAUAUGAAUUCAGUAAGCAGAUAGACUAUUCUCUGUUUUAAAAACAAAAAAUACGUAUGGACCCCAUGGGAAUCAAGGCCAAAUACAAUCAAGGUACUUUACAAAGAAUGGAUAAAUAUGCAUGAAUAGCGAAAGCAUUUUGUUGUGACCAGAUAAUAAAUUAUUAUGUAAUCUACCUGUGUAGGAUGAUUUGAGCAAAGUAGAAAAGUUAAUAAAGCUAUACUGCAAAAAAUUAUAAAGCUGCAUGCUUAGUAGGCCCAUCCCCUUGCUUACAACAAAUAAAAGUAAACUUGAGGGCUGGGGCUGUAGCUCAGUGGUGGAGCACUUGUCUAGCUUGUGUGAGGCACUGGGUUUGACCCUCAGCACCACAUAAAAAAUAUAAAAAGUAUUGUGUCCAUCUACAACUAAAAAAAAUAAAAAGUAAACUUGGAAGUAUGUUUAUCUGUUAAAUUUUAGCAAAAGAUAUUAAUAUACUGCCUAAAUUUUAAAAUUUAAAAAGCAUAGAAAUUGGAAGUGAACCAUCAUUGGAUGAUAAUGUUAAUUAUCAUGGGAAAAGUGCUUAUCAAAUAGCAAUUAAGUAGAUGCCCUGGGAUGGGGUUGUGGCUCAGUGGUAGAGUGCUUGCCUAGCAAGUAUGAGGCACUGGGUUCAAUCCUCAGCACCACAUAAAUGUAAAAUAAAGAUAUUAUGUCUAACCAAAACUUAAAAAUAAAUAUUUUUUAAAAAGUAGAUUCCCUAAUUUUACAUUUAAAAUGGAGGUAUAAAAAAAUUAAAAUAUCUUUAGAUUUUGAAUUUUUCAUUGGAAAAUUUAUAUCCUUUUAAUAUAUCUGAUUCCCACAAGGCAACCAUUUAUUUGACAUGUGUUCUGAUGAUUUAAGUCCUGCAGCAAUUUUAUCCAAAAUAGUUUUAAUCAGUAAUUUGUAAUAAAAAAUGGAUGUCUUAUUUGGAUCUUGUACCAAUUCACAAAUUUUGCUUAGUGCAAUCUUAUUGAACUUCAGAAAUGGCCUUCUAUCAGUCACAGCGUCAUCUUUACAAUAAAUUUCAGCAAGCUGAAGUUAAUAGAAAAUUAUUUAAGAUUGAGAAACCAGCCUCUACCUCAGAGCAAAGCCUGUUCAAGGAAGGGGGCAUGACCUUGUCCUUGGAAAGACCCACAGAGCACUCCUAGGCACAUUCCCACCCUGCUGAGUUGUUUAUCUACAAAUAAUAGGAGAGAUCUGCUGUGCCUGGUGUCCCUGACUCAGUCAGGCUAGGUGAGGACCCAUAGCAACCCCCUAGCAGCCACCAAUCAGCAUGAGACAGAGAAAAUACCUGGGGUGCCAGAUGACCCCCCAGUAGUUUAUGGUGUUGUGAAACCACGUAGUUCAGCAUUACUCCCCUCGUGGCUUAAACCAAUCAGUUCAAACGAAUCCCCCUCUUGUACUAACCCAUCACCCCAACCCAACUUGUUCCCGCCAGUGAAUGUGCUAAUCAUGUUUUAGAGUUGUGUUAUGAUUUUCCCGCAGUGUGUGAUGAUUUGCUAAGAGAUGCUAGGAUAUAUGUGGGGUCCCUGCCUUCCCCAAAGAGUGUAUAAAACUGCUGCAAACCCUGGGCUCGGGGCCUCUCAGCGUCACCAGUUGCUAUGUGCGCAGAGGACCGAGCUAGCUCGAAAUAAACACCUCUUUGCUGCUUACAUCAA
rnacentral:lncRNA from 1 species